GAGGUUAGCCGGGGGUUUCUUUACCAGGUACUGUCAUUAUCAUCCCUGGCGAAAGAGCUUUACGACCCUAGGGCCUUCAUCACUCACGCGGCAUGGCUGGAUCAGGCUUGCGCCCAUUGUCCAAGAUUCCCCA
rnacentral:rRNA from 1 species